UGGGGAAUAUUGCACAAUGGGCGCAAGCCUGAUGCAGCCAUGCCGCGUGUGUGAAGAAGGCCUUCGGGUUGUAAAGCACUUUCAGCGAGGAGGAAGGUGGUGAGCUUAAUACGCUCAUCAAUUGACGUUACUCGCAGAAGAAGCACCGGCUAACUCCGUGCCAGCAGCCGCGGUAAUACGGAGGGUGCAAGCGUUAAUCGGAAUUACUGGGCGUAAAGCGCACGCAGGCGGUUUGUUAAGUCAGAUGUGAAAUCCCCGGGCUCAACCUGGGAACUGCAUUUGAAACUGGCAAGCUAGAGUCUCGUAGAGGGGGGUAGAAUUCCAGGUGUAGCGGUGAAAUGCGUAGAGAUCUGGAGGAAUACCGGUGGCGAAGGCGGCCCCCUGGACGAAGACUGACGCUCAGGUGCGAAAAGCGUGGGGAGCAAAACAGGAUUAGAUACCCUGGUAGUCCACGCUGUAAACGAUGUCGAUUUUGGAGGUUGUGCCCUUGAGGCGUGGCUUCCGGAGCUAACGCGUUAAAUCGACCGCCUGGGGAGUACGGCCGCAAGGUUAAAACUCAAAGGAAUUGACGGGGUCAUAGCUG
rnacentral:rRNA from 1 species